rnacentral:rRNA from 1 species
GGAAAGGUGAAAAGCACCCCGGAAGGGGAGUGAAAUAGUUCCUGAAACCGUGUGCCUACAAGCAGUCAGAGCUCGGCUUGUCCGGGUGAUGGCGUGCCUAUUGAAGAAUGAGCCGACGAGUUACGGUCAGUGGCAAGGUUAAGCAACGAGAGUUGCGGAGCCGGAGCGAAAGCGAGUCUGAAUAGGGCGUUCAGUCGCUGGCUGUAGACCCGAAACCGAGUGAUCUACCCAUGGGCAGCGUGAAGCGAGGGUAAUGCCUCGUGGAGGCGCGAACCUUCCUGCGUUGCAAAGCAGUUGGAUGACCUGUGGGUAGCGGAGAAAUUCCAAUCGAACUCGGAGAUAGCUGGUUCUCCUCGAAAUGCAUCUAGGUGCAGCCUCGAGUGUUAUCCGCCGGAGGUAGGGCUCUGAUUGGGCUAGGGGGCAUAGCGCUUACCAAACCCAUUCAAACCAUGAAUGCCGGUGGACGAGAGCUCGGGAGUGAGACAGCGGGGGCUAAGCUUCGUUGUCAAAAGGGAAACAGCCCAGACCCUCAGCUAAGGUCCCUAAAUCCACGCUCAGUGUUAAAGGAUGUCCGGUCGCACAGACAGCCAGGAUGUUGGCUUAGAAGCAGCCACCAUUGAAAGAGUGCGUAAUAGCUCACUGGUCGAGUGACCGGGCGCCGACAAUGUAUCGGGGCUCAAGCGUGGUACCGAAGCUAGGGGAUCGCUCCUUCGGGAGUGAUCGGUAGAGGAGCGUUCUGCGUGCAGUGAAGCCGGCGGGGUGACCCCUGGUGGAGCGCGUAGAAGUGAGAAUGUCGGCAUGAGUAGCGUAAUUCAGGUGAGAAACCUGAACGCCGUAAGCCUAAGGGUUCCUACGCAAGGUUAUUCCGCGUAGGGUUAGGCGGGCCUAAGCCGAGGGCGAGAGCCGUAGGCGAUGGACAGCAGGUUAGUAUUCCUGCCCCACUGUAUUUGCGUUUGAGACGAGAGGCGUGACCCGGGAGGAUAGAUGGAGCGGGCCUUGUGGACUUGGCCCGUCCUUGCACCGUAGGCGUCUGGGGAUAGGCAAAUCCGUUCCCAGGUUAAGCGGAGGGUGCGAGGGAAGCGGAGACGUCAGUCAAAGCGAUUCUGUUGAGUCCAUGCCGGCUAGAAAAGCGUCGUCGUCGAGUAAGUACGGUGCCCGUACCGCAAACCGACACUGGUGGGCGACGGUAAGUACCGUCAGGCGUUCGAGAGAACCCUCGUUAAGGAACUCUGCAAUUUAGCUCCGUAACUUCGGGAGAAGGAGCGCCCUUGAGCGUGUAGGACUUCGCGUCCGAAGCGCCCGGGGGCCGCAGCGAGCCGGUCCAGGCGACUGUUUAACAAAAACACAGGUCUCUGCUAAACCGUAAGGUGAUGUAUAGAGGCUGAUGCCUGCCCAAUGCUCGAAGGUCAAACCGGUUGCUGAUCGUAUUUAUUACGCUAGGCGAACGACUAAGCCCGAGUGAAUGGCGGCCGUAACUAUAACGGUCCUAUGGUAGCGAAAUUCCUUGUCGGGUAAGUUCCGACCUGCACGAAUGGCGUAACGAUGGCCACACUGUCUCC